GCGGGCUCCUGUGCCGCCUGCGCGCCAGGAGGAAUUUUGGAUCUGCGGAGGAAUUUCUUCUCAGAAGAAGCGUGUUUCUGCUCAGAAUUCUGAGAAGAAUUUCUUCUCAGAAAGUGCGAUUGGGCUCUGAAAUGGGCUGCCCAGGGGGCUGGUGGGUGUCACCGUCCCUGCAGGUGAUGGUGGUGUCGGGUCACGGCUUGGGCUCGAUGGGAUCAGAGGUCCUUUCCAGCCUCAGUGACUCUGGGCUCAGGCAUCCGUCCCUUGGGAAAUCCACAGCAAAGUUAAGAUUUAACUUCACGCUGCAGAGUCCUCCCACCGUGUGACACCUGCUGAUCUCUCCAGCCAACCUCCUUUCUCCUGCCGCUGGCCCCAGGGUGGGCACCGGGACACGGAACAGAAGCAGUUUAUCCAGUGAAAAGUUUUGUCCUUCUGGAUCUGCACCAGUGUAAUUCUCAGUUCAAUCAGAAUUUCUCUGGUGCUGGUUUUGUGUUGGCUGAAGGAGAUGCACUUCAC